rnacentral:misc_RNA from 1 species
GAUGAAGAACGUAGCGAAAUGCGAUAAGUAAUGUGAAUUGCAGAAUUCAGUGAAUCAUCGAAUCUUUGAACGCACAUUGCGCCCGCCAGUAUUCUGGCGGGCAUGCCUGUUCGAGCGUCAUUUCAACCAUCAAGCCCCCGGCUUGUGUUGGGGACCUGCGGCUGCCGCAGGCCCUGAAAACCAGUGGCGGGCUCGCUAGUCACUCCGAGCGUAGUAAUACAUCUCGCUCAGGGCGUNNUGCGGGUUCCGGCCGUUAAAAAGCCUUAUUUACCCAAGGUUGACCUCGGAUCAGGUAGGAAGACCCGCUGAACUUAAGCAUAUCAAUAAGCGGAGGA